AGGGCCUACUAAACUUGUAGACUUCGGUCUGCUACCUCUUACCCAUGUCUUUUGAGUACCUUCGUUUCCUCGGCGGGUCCGCCCGCCGAUUGGACAACAUUCAAACCCUUUGCAGUUGCAAUCAGCGUCUGAAAAGGCAUAAUAGUUACAACUUUCAACAACGGAUCUCUUGGAUCUGGCAUCGAUGAAGAACGCAGCGAAAUGCGAUAAGUAGUGUGAAUUGCAGAAUUCUGUGAAUCAUCGAAUCUUUGAACGCACAUUGCGCCCCUUGGUAUUCCAUGGGGCAUGCCUGUUCGAGCGUCAUUUGUACCUUCAAGCUCUGCUUGGUGUUCGGUGUUUGUCUCGCCUCUGCGUGUAGACUCGCCUUAAAACAAUUGGCAGCCGGCGUAUUGAUUUCGGAGCGCAGUACAUCUCGCGCUUUGCACUCAAAACGACGACGUCCAAAAGUACAUUUUUACACUCUUGACCUCGGAUCAGGUAGGGAUACCCGCUGAACUUAAGCAUUUCAAUAAGCGGAGGAAAUCAUUACCUAGAGUUUGUAGACUUCGGUCUGCUACCUCUUACCUGUUCUUUUGAUUACCUUGUUUCUUGGCUGGUCCCGCGAUUGGACACAUUCAACCUUUGCGUUCAUCGCGUCUGAAAAAAAUAAAAAUUUCACUUUUACAACGACUUUGGUUCGGCAUCAG
rnacentral:rRNA from 1 species